GCCGGGCAUGGUGGUGCACGCCUGUAAUCCCAGUGCCUCGGGAGGCUGAGGCAGGAGGAUUGCAAGUUCAAAUCCAGCCUUAG
rnacentral:sRNA from 1 species